CCUACGGGGGGCUGCAGUGAGGAAUAUUGGUCAAUGGGCGCGAGCCUGAACCAGCCAAGUCGCGUGAAGGAUGACUGCCCUACGGGUUGUAAACUUCUUUUAUAAAGGAAUAAAGUGAGGCACGUGUGCCUUUUUGUAUGUACUUUAUGAAUAAGGAUCGGCUAACUCCGUGCCAGCAGCCGCGGUAAUACGGAGGAUCCGAGCGUUAUCCGGAGUUAUUGGGUUUAAAGGGAGCGUAGAUGGGUGUUUAAGUCAGGUGUGAAAGUUUGCGGAUCAACCGUAAAAUUGCAAUUGAUACUGGCAGCCUUGAGUACAGUAGAGGUAGGCGGAAUUCGUGGUGUAGCGGUGAAAUGCGUAGAUAUCACGAAGAACUCCGAUUGCGAAGGCAGCUUACUAAACUGCCACUGACAUUGAUGCUCGAAAGUGUGGGUAUCAAACAGGAUUAGAUACCCGAGUAGUC
rnacentral:rRNA from 1 species